rnacentral:rRNA from 1 species
GACAGAGGGUGCAAACGUUGCUCGGAAUCACUGGGCGUAAAGGGCGUGUAGGCGGGACGGUAAGUCGGGCGUGAAAUCCCUAGGCUCAACCUAGGAACUGCACUCGAAACUACCAUUCUUGAGUGUCGGAGAGGAAAGCGGAAUUCCUGGUGUAGAGGUGAAAUUCGUAGAUAUCAGGAGGAACACCAGUGGCGAAGGCGGCUCACUGGCCCGUUACCGACGCUCAGGCGCGACAGCGUGGGGAGCAAACAGG